GUGGGUGUAGCUCAGUUGGCAGAGCACCAGGUUGUGGCCCUGGGAGUCGCGGGUUCAAAUCCCGUCAUCCACCCCA
rnacentral:tRNA from 1 species